CCCUCGGAGGUGUCAGUUGUUGCAUUCCUCGGUCUCAUUAACCAAAUGUGUCUUUGUCUUCCUGAUUAUAGAGCAAAUUGCUGAACAAUGAUGGAAAAUUCCACUUAACGCAACACAAACAGUAGAAUUAGAUUGCAUUAAUGCGUGCGCCUAUUAUUGUCACUUGUUUUUCAACACGCAAGGAAGCAUGACGCAAAUGCUUUAAAGUAGUGAGUGG